UACAGAGGGGGCAAGCGUUGUUCGGAAUUACUGGGCGUAAAGGGCGCGUAGGCGGCCUUCUAAGUCGAACGUGAAAUCCCCGGGCUCAACCCGGGAACUGCGUCCGAUACUGGAAGGCUUGAAUCCGGGAGAGGGAUGCGGAAUUCCAGGUGUAGCGGUGAAAUGCGUAGAUAUCGGGAGGAACACCUGUGGCGAAAGCGGCUCACUGGACCAUAACUGACGCUGAUGCACGAAAGCUAGGGGAGCAAACAGG
rnacentral:rRNA from 1 species